UACGGGGGGGGCAAGCGUUGUUCGGAAUUACUGGGCGUAAAGGGCUCGUAGGCGGCCAACUAAGUCAGAUGUGAAAUCCCCAGGCUUAACCUGGGAACUGCAUCUGAUACUGGAUGGCUUGAAUCCGGGAGAGGGAUGCAGAAUUCCAGGUGUAGCGGUGAAAUGCGCAGAUAUCGGGAGGAACACCAAUGGCGAAGGCAGCUCGCUGGGACGUGACUGACGCUGAGACGCGAAAGCGUGGGGAGCAAACAGG
rnacentral:rRNA from 1 species